rnacentral:rRNA from 1 species
GAUGAACGCUAGCUACAGGCUUAACACAUGCAAGUCGCGGGGCAGCAUUUCCUUAGCUUGCUAAGGAAGAUGGCGACCGGCGCACGGGUGAGUAACGCGUAUCGAACCUGCCCCAUACCCGGGGAUAGCCUUGCGAAAGUAAGAUUAAUACCCGAUGGUUUCCUUUUAUCUCCUGAUAGAGGGAAUAAAGAAUUUCGGUAUGGGAUGGCGAUGCGUCCGAUUAGCUAGUUGGCGGGGUAACGGCCCACCAAGGCGACGAUCGGUAGGGGUUCUGAGAGGAAGGUCCCCCACAUUGGAACUGAGACACGGUCCAAACUCCUACGGGAGGCAGCAGUGAGGAAUAUUGGUCAAAUGGGCGAAAGCCUGAACCAGCCAAGUAGCGUGCAGGAUGACGGCCCUAUGGGUUGUAAACUGCUUUUAGGCGGGGGUAAAGUGGCGGACGUGUUCCGCCUUUGCAAGUACCGCAGAAAAAGGACCGGCUAAUUCCGUG